rnacentral:rRNA from 1 species
UACGAAGGGGGCUAGCGUUGUUCGGAAUUACUGGGCGUAAAGCGCACGUAGGCGGACUAUUAAGUCAGGGGUGAAAUCCCGGGGCUCAACCCCGGAACUGCCUUUGAUACUGGUAGUCUCGAGUCCGGAAGAGGUGAGUGGAAUUCCGAGUGUAGAGGUGAAAUUCGUAGAUAUUCGGAGGAACACCAGUGGCGAAGGCGGCUCACUGGCCCGUUACCGACGCUCAGGCGCGACAGCGUGGGGAGCAAACAGG